rnacentral:piRNA from 1 species
ACAGAAGGCUGGAUAAGAUAAGA